rnacentral:rRNA from 1 species
AACGAACGCUGGCGGCGUGCCUAACACAUGCAAGUCGAGCGAUUAAGACCCUUCGGGGUGAAUAAAGCGGCGGACGGGUGAGUAAGGCAUAGAUAACCUGCCUCGAAGAGGGGGAUAGCCUGGGGAAACUUGGGUUAAUACCGCGUAAGCUGGAUGAGUGAAUGUCAUCCAGUAAAGGCUUCGGCCGCUUUGAGAUGGGUCUAUGUAUGAUUAGCUAGUUGGAGUGGUAAUGGCACCCCAAGGCAACUAUCAUUAACUGGUCUGAGAGGAUGAUCAGUCACACUGGAACUGAGACACGGUCCAG